AAUACGUUCCCGGGUCUUGUACACACCGCCCGUCACACCACGGGAGCGGGUUUUACCAGAAGUAGGUAGCUUAACCGCAAGGAGGGCGCUUACCACGGUAGGGUUCGUGACUGGGGUG
rnacentral:rRNA from 1 species